UGUCGGGUAAGUUCCGACCUGCACGAAUGGCGUAAUGAUGGCCAGGCUGUCUCCACCCGAGACUCAGUGAAAUUGAACUCGCUGUGAAGAUGCAGUGUACCCGCGGCAAGACGGAAAGACCCCGUGAACCUUUACUAUAGCUUGACACUGAACAUUGAGCCUUGAUGUGUAGGAUAGGUGGGAGGCUUUGAAGUGUGGACGCCAGUCUGCAUGGAGCCGACCUUGAAAUACCACCCUUUAAUGUUUGAUGUUCUAACGUGGACCCGUGAUCCGGGUUGCGGACAGUGUCUGGUGGGUAGUUUGACUGGGGCGGUCUCCUCCUAAAGAGUAACGGAGGAGCACGAAGGUUGGCUAAUCCUGGUCGGACAUCAGGAGGUUAGUGCAAUGGCAUAAGCCAGCUUGACUGCGAGCGUGACGGCGCGAGCAGGUGCGAAAGCAGGUCAUAGUGAUCCGGUGGUUCUGAAUGGAAGGGCCAUCGCUCAACGGAUAAAAGGUACUCCGGGGAUAACAGGCUGAUACCGCCCAAGAGUUCAUAUCGACGGCGGUGUUUGGCACCUCGAUGUCGGCUCAUCACAUCCUGGGGCUGAAGUAGGUCCCAAGGGUAUGGCUGUUCGCCAUUUAAAGUGGUACGCGAGCUGGGUUUAGAACGUCGUGAGACAGUUCGGUCCCUAUCUGCCGUGGGCGCUGGAGAACUGAGGGGGGCUGCUCCUAGUACGAGAGGACCGGAGUGGACGCAUCACUGGUGUUCGGGUUGUCAUGCCAAUGGCACUGCCCGGUAGCUAAAUGCGGAAGAGAUAAGUGCUGAAAGCAUCUAAGCACGAAACUUGCCCCGAGAUGAGUUCUCCCUGAGACUUUAGGUCUCCUGAAGGAACGUUGAAGACGACGACGUUGAUAGGCCGGGUGUGUAAGCGCAGCGAUGCGUUGAGCUAACCGGUACUAAUGAACCGUGAGGCUUAACCUUACA
rnacentral:rRNA from 1 species